UGGCUCUCUGUAUAGCCAUUACAUAUUGCUGAUAUGCUGUGUCAGUUUAGUAACAUAGAGAAAGAACAGAGAACAUAAAGGAUUCCAAACUCAUUAGUCUCUUGAUGAACCUUCUGCUCUUUCAUUUAUGGAAUAGACUCAGCCUCUUUCUGUCUGUACUGAGCGUUGUCUUCCAGGAUCCAGCAAGAAAGUGAAGGAGGGACAGCCCCCUUGCUGCUACGAUUGCAUCCCAUGUCCAGAGGGGAAGGUUGCAAACCAGAUGGUAAGAGAAAUAAAUAGAUUCAAUAGAUCCAGACUCAGUACUUCGGAUUGAAAGGUGUUGUAAUGAUGGCUGAGUUUAAGGUUCAAAAGAGGUGUUGAUCUACUGUGUGUCUGAUUCUGCCUUAUUGUGAUCACUGCCCUUCAGAUAGUCUAAAUAUGCUAAUCAAAUGAGAAUGACUAUGCAUUGAGAGUACUUGGGUGGUAUGUGGUUCAACUCAUAUCAAGAGGGGCUUGUCACUGCACCAAGGCUACUGGAAUGAUGCAUUCCAAUUUCAUGAGCAGCAAUAGCCCUGGCUGUGCCAUUUACAUACCACAUAGCUCUGAACUGAUUGAAUUCAACAAUACCACAUUACAGACAGAAUUCAAUAUGUGUUUUGAUUUAAACAGAGCUUCAUUUCUUCUCAGACAGAAAGUAAACAUUUCAGCAAGCUGAUAUGAUAUGAGCUAAUUUCUUUAUUUUCCCCAGAUAUGAAUGACUGUAAUAAAUGCCCAGACAAAGACUAUCCAAGCAAGAACCGGAAUGCAUGUCUACCCAAGGAUAUCAGCUUCUUGUCUUAUGAAGAACCUUUGGGCAUCAGUUUAGCCUGCUUCUCUCUUUUCCUUUCCCUGAUCACAGUUCUGGUACUAGGUACAUUUAUAAAACACCAUGACACACCCAUUGUCAUUGCAAACAACCGAAACCUCACCUACACUCUCCUCAUCUCUCUCCUGCUCUGUUUCCUUUGUGCAUUGCUCUUCAUUGGCCGACCUGAGAAGGUCACGUGCCUCCUCCGGCAAACAGCUUUUGGCAUCAUCUUCUCAACCGCUGUCUCUUGUGUCCAGGAAGUCACCAGACAGUUUCAAUGAAGCCAAGUUUAUCACUUUCAGCAUGUUGGUCUUCUGCAGUGUUUGGCUGUCCUUUAUUCCCUCCUACCUGAGCACCAAGGGGAAAUAUAUGGUAGCUGUGGAGAUCUUCUCCAUCUUAGCCUCCAGUAUUGGGUUGCUGGUUUGCAUCUUUUCCCCAAAAUGUUACAUAAUCAUUCUGAGGCCUAGAGCUGAACAAUAGGGAACAGCUAAUAAGGAAGAAAAAUUAAAGAAAUAAGAAACCUGUCCUUUGCU